GAGCCUACGGGACGCAGCAGUGAGGAAUAUUGGUCAAUGGGCGAGAGCCUGAACCAGCCAAGUCGCGUGAAGGAUGACGGCCCUAUGGGUUGUAAACUUCUUUUGUCAGGGAGCAAUUGGGUCCACGUGUGGGCUUAGCGAGAGUACCUGAAGAAAAAGCAUCGGCUAACUCCGUGCCAGCAGCCGCGGUAAUACGGAGGAUGCGGGCGUUAUCCAGAUUUAUUGGGUUUAAAGGGGGCGUAGGCGGAAUAUCAAGUCAGCGGUAAAAAUUAGGGGCUCAACCCCGACGUGCCGUUGAAACUGAU
rnacentral:rRNA from 1 species